rnacentral:misc_RNA from 1 species
AAACUGCGAUAAGUAGUGUGAAUUGCAUUUAGUGAAUCAUCGAAUCUUUGAACGCACCCUGCACUCACUGGUAUUCCGGUGAGUACGCCUGUUUCAGUAUCAUUGAAAACACACAAUCAAAACAUUUUCUUUGGUUUGAUUGGCUUUGGGUCUAUCAAAAAGUUUGGCUUGUUUCUUACAAGCCAAGCGGCCUGAAAUAUAUUGUCUGGCUAAUUGCAUCGUUGAUGAUCGCUAUUAGACUUUGGCUUUUUUAAAUGAACUGGAGGUUGAUUAACCAGUUUUAGCUUUAGUCAAAUGGUCAUUGUAAAAAAAUCUCGAUCUUGGCUAGGUGUUUAUAGCCGAAAAUUUUUUUUUGGCUAUAACCGAAACCAAUAUAAUCACAUUUAGUUAUCGAUCUGAAAUCAGGUGGGACUACCCGCUGAACUUAAGC